rnacentral:lncRNA from 1 species
AAAAAAGGUUUAUGCUCGUCCUUGAUGAUGUGUGGAACGAAGAUGAGAGGAAGUGGGAGGAUGUCCUGAAGCCUCUUUUGUGUUCUGUUGGUGGAACAGGAAGCGUAAUUGUUGUCACAACUCGAAGCCAGAAAGUGGCCUCUAUAAUGCAGACUCUUCGACCCCAUAAGCUAGCAUGUCUAAGUGAACAAGAUUCAUGGGAAUUGUUUGCACAGAAAGCAUAUAGCAACUGCCUAGACCAGGAGCAAGCAGAGUUGGUCAGCAUCGGCAGACGUAUUGUCAACAAAUGCAGGGGGCUGCCUCUUGCUCUCAAGACAAUGGGUGGAUUGCUAAGUUCAUAUCAACAAGUACAAGAAUGGAAGGCCAUCGAAGAAAGAAAUAUUAGGGAUACUGUUACUGCGAAAGAUGAGAUCAUGUCCAUCCUAAAGUUGAGCUACACACACCUAUCAUCUGAAAUGAAGCAAUGUUUUGCAUUCUUAGCAGUUUUCCCCAAGGACUAUGUGAUGGACAAGGACAAGUUGAUCCAACUAUGGAUGGCAAAUGGUUUUAUUCAAGGGAUGGGAACAAUGGAUUUGACAAAAAGAGGAGAAUUCAUUUUUGAUGAGUUGGUUUGGAGGUCCUUCCUCCAAGAUAAGCAUGAGCGCACACACGGUUAUGGUACGAAAACUUAUGUGACUAUAAACUGUAAGAUGCAUGAUUUAAUGCAUGAUCUAGCAAAAGAUGUCACAGAUGAAUGUGCAAGUAUAGAAGAACUGACUCAGAAGAAAGCAUUGUUAAAAUUUGUUUGUCACAUGCAAAUGUCAAAUUAUGAAUUGAAACAAAUUAGUGGGUUAUGCAAAGGCAGAACAAACCUCCGUACUUUGUUAGCUCCUUCAGAAUCACACAAGGAUUUUAAAGAGUUGCUGCAGGUAUCAGGAUCACUAAGAGCAUUGCAUUGCUCUCCUUAUUCAGUUGCCAAUUGCAAGGUCAUAAAUGCAAAACAUAUACGAUAUCUUGACCUCUCUGGGUCUAACAUCAUUAGGUUGCCAGAUUCAAUAGGUGUGUUGUAUAACUUGCAAACAUUGAGGCUCACAGAUUGUUGGGACUUGCGGCAGUUACCAGGAGACAUGACAGGACUGAAAAAGCUCAUCCAUCUUUAUCUUUAUGGUUGUGAUAGUCUCGAAAGUAUGUCUCCAAACUUUGGUCUACUGAACAACCUUCAGAUAUUAACAACAUUUGUUGUGGAUACUGGAGAUGGCCUUGGAAUAGAGCAGCUCAAAGACUUGCAACACGUUAGCAAUAGGUUGGAAUUGUUGAGUUUGAGCAAGAUAAAGAGUGGGAAGAAUGCAAAAGAAGCCAAUCUCAGUCAGAAGCAAAAUCUAAGUGAGUUGUUGUUCUCCUGGGACCAAGAAAUAGGUGAUGAGCCUACAGAUGUGGAAGAAGUGCUCCAGUGUUUAGAACCACAUAGUAAUAUCCAAAUAUUGGAGAUAUGUGGAUAUGGUGGCCUAGAAAUAUCACAGUGGAUGAGAAAGCCUCAGAUGUUUAACUGCUUGAGAGAACUCGAAAUGUCCGACUGCCCGAGAUGCAAGAGUAUACCUGUAGUAUGGCUCUCCAUCUCUCUGGAGAUUUUGUCCUUACGGAAGAUGGAUAACCUGACAACAUUAUGUAGUAACCUUGAUGUGGAAGGUGGAGGACGCGUUGUCCCUCUGGAAAUUUUCCCAAGGUUGAAGAGGAUGAUGUUGAUUGAGCUACCAAGCCUGGAGAUAUGGGCAGAAAACAGUGUGGGAGAGCCUGGUGAUAGCCUGGUAAUGUUCCCGAUAGUUGAAGAGCUAAGAAUCGAAAAUUGCCCCAAGCUUGCUAGUAUUCCAGUGACCCCCAUUGUCAGCGAGCUGACAAUAGUUGGAGUCCAUAGUACUGCAAUCAGUUUAGGCUUUAUGAGCAUACGUUUGGGCUCUUGGCCAUUUCUUGUCAGGUUAACUCUUGGUUCUCCGGAGGACAUAGCCAUGUUGCCUCUAGACCCCCAGCAAAGCGAAAGUCAAAGACCUAUUAAAAAACUUAAGAGUUUGAAUCUAGAAGGGCCCAACAGCUUGGUCACAGGCUCCCGAGUGUCUAGAUCACACCUUAUGCCUUGGAAAUGCUUUCCAUUCGUGGAAAUUCUGAGGAUUUAUAGAUGCAUCAAUCUUGUCCACUGGCCAAUAGAGGAGCUCCAGUGCUUGGAUAGCCUCCGCGCCCUGUAUAUCGUUAAUUGUGAAAAUCUGGAGGGGAAUAGUUCAUCAUCUGAGGAGGAGACCCUUCCACUGUCCUUGGAGGAUUUGGUGAUUGCACACUGCCAUAGUGUGGUGGCACUGCCUUCGAACCUUGGAAAUCUGGCCAAGCUGAAGAGUCUCCUUGUGGAUGGCUGCAGUGGCCUGAAAGUGCUGCCUGACGGGAUGCAUGGCCUCACUUCUCUUAGGUCAUUGGAGAUUGAGUGCUGUCCAGAUAUGGAGAAAUUCCCACAUGGUCUCCUGGAGCUGUUGCCUGCCCUCGAAGAUUUAUCCAUAGAUGAUUGCCCAGAGUUGGAAAGACGAUGCAGAGAAGGUGGGGAGUAUUUCCACUUGGUCUCCUCGGUCCCAAAACUGAGCAUUGGAGAAUACUCCUCCACUCCUGAGUUGGGAAUCGAGGCACAAGAAUCAGAAUCCAGCAGACAGAAGUUUCUAAGGAGGCUCCUCCCCUCCUGUGUUCACUCGAAGUCUGAGUCUGAGUCUGACAGCAUAGAGCAUUGAUGCCCCCUCCUAUGCAGACUCAUUUACGUGAGACAAUGACUCUGAGGCUGACUAUAACUGAGGUGCUUAUUCCCCAAGUAUUUUCCUUGUUCUAAUAUGGUGAACUAUCUCAUGAAAGGUAAUAUUGUUGCUUCGUCUCUACUACUUCCUGUAAUUGCUUAGUGUUAACAAUUUAACUGUGUAAGUGUGGAGUUCUGAACAUCUGCUACUUACUAUCAGCAGAUACCCCAUCUGCAGACGUCAAGCACAUCCAGUUGUGGUUUGCUGCAGAUUGCCAAUAUGCAAAUGAUUUCAGGUUUGCAAAAGUAGGAAUUCAGACCGCGUUUACGCGUGAAUUCUGAUGCCACCAACUGAUACAACAGAUCCAUAAAAGCCAUGAAUGACUCGGUGUUUCAGGCAAACAAAAUCUGACCACGACUUUCCACUUCCCUCUUGCAUAGCAUAUACUACCAUCUUCAUAAUGAACUUGAUUACUUAUCUGGCAACCUUCUUAUGCAGGACAAUCACAAGUCACCAAUUCUUCUUCAACCAAAAAUUUGUAAGGUACUACGUUCCAUCUCUGCUCAAUAUAUCUAUCCCCAACACUGCCAAUGGUUAAAUCAACCGAGCACACAGUGGGAUCUGUUCUCCUACAUAAACAAAUGUCGAAAUUGCUUAAAUGACACGGCUACUUAAUCUGAAGCCACGAAACAACAAAAUGGUUGGCCAUAUUUAUUUGUAUUUGCUACCUCUGUAACGGUUGGAGAAAUUGCUUAUUCAGACUAGAGAUAGUAACUUGCACCUGGAAAAUAUAUCUCCCUUCUGUCAAACGUUGCCACAUCGAAUUCGGCGUUCAAUUAUAUAGUUGAUAGCAUGCAAUGGCACUAACACAAUGAUUCGGUUUACCUGCAGGCUGCGGCAGGUUGGAAUUUCUGAACAACUACACAACAUGAAGGAAGUGACGAACGAACUGUGAGAGGAGGCCUCUCUCGUCCUCCCCCCAUCUUUGCCGCUGUGCGCGCCGCGAACUGGAGGGGGAACCGCCGUCUUAUGCACACCAUGCAUUAGCGGGUAUAGCUCACACUAACGGGUUAGAGGAAGCUAGGUGCGAAGGCACCUAGGUGCCCCAGUUAAUUUACAUAUAUAUAAAUAAAAGGUCGGCAAUGCUUCUAAUAUGUGGUAUCGAGAGAUAAUUACUAGUUGUAGAUGGAACUACACGUGUAAUUGACAUAGCUUUAGUACAACAUCAAUUAAUUUGAUCGUAGAGAGUAGUAGAUAUAGAUUAUCAAACUAAACUGCAGACAACAAAGGAUGGGCGCUCCUAAGUCUCGCUUGUAACGAGACCUAGGAACCCUUGUGUGAAAGGGGUGGCCCAGAUGGGCCAGCCCAUACGUGAGUGAGGUUACAACCUAUCUUUUUCUCUGGAUUAUUUUUCAUAUUUUCUUUUUUUGCUUUAUUUUUACGUUUGUUUAUACUUUUAAAUAUUCUAAGUAUAUAUAUUACAUAAAGAACUCUACAUGAAACAUUAAAAAUAUUAACCAAGAAUUUGAAAAUGUAUACGAAAAGAAUACAAUGCAUAUGAAAAAAAUUGAUCAUGUAUUUAAAAAUGCUAAUCAAGUAUUUGAAAAAAUGUUGAAUAAGUAUGUGAAAAAUAUUAAUGUGUAUAUAAAAAAUAUUGACCAUCUAUGUGACAAAUGUAAAUGAAGCAUUUGAAAAAUGUUAAAUGCGCAUAGAUUUUUUUUGACCAUUUACCAAAAAAUUGUUCUUGUAUUUGAAAAAGUGUUAAUCAAGUAUUUUUAAAAAAAUGUGACAACUUUAUAGAAAAAUGUUGACACAUUAAUUUAUAACUCUUACUCUUGCAUUUACAAAUGUUAAUCAAGCAUUUGAAUUUUUUUACAAAAUUAAUAGAAAAAUAUUGACCAUGAAUAUAAAAAAUAUUCCUCUUGUAUUUGAAAACUUUUAAUCACUCAUUUGAAAAAAUGUGAAAAAAAUAUGUACUGAGAAAAUAUUGACCAUGUAUACAAAAAAUGUUAAGCUUGUAUUUGAAAAUCAUAGAACAUGUAUUAGAAAAUGUAUUAGAUAUAUACCAAAAAUGUCUAUUGCAAAAUAAGGAAAACCUGAGAAAACAAAAGAAAAAUAGGUGAAAACAAGGAAAAAUAAACAAAACCAAAAAAGAAGAAAAAAUAAGGAAAAUACAGGCAUUAGAAACCGAGAAAGAAACAAAGAAAACUGAAGAAAGAAAACGAUAAAUGCAGAGAAAGAAACGAAGAAAAACCGAUGAAAAACAAUGAAAAACUAAAACAAAAAAAAUGGAAAGCCAGUGGGUUUGAAGCCUUCUGGGAUUAGCGGGCUGGCCUUGGUGAUUGUUUGUUUUUGGUGUUCAAUCCCAAAAAUAAAUUAUUGUUCCUACCAAAUAUUAAGUUGUAUACUAAGUAAAAGAUAAGUAACAUGGAUCGGAAGGAGUAGCUAUUUGUCCCCCUAAAAAAAAGAAAUAGCUACUUGUAAGUAGUAUAUCAAAAAAAUACCACCAGUGCUAUUUCUCGCUUACUGGGUGAUGGUAGCCUCGCCUGCAGGGAUCACUGAGGUGGGCCAACCCAGGUUUUGGGACGCUUCUAAAUGCAGCUUUGUGGAAUCUUGCACCCAGUUUGGAAGGUUCUGUGCGGAUUAUGUUCUUUAUUUGUGCUUUUCUCUAUUGGGUUUUCAUCGGGUUAUUUUCCUAUUUGUUUUUUUCUUUUCUUGUUGUUUCUUUCUAUUUUUUAUUGUUUUAGAUACAUGUCGAAUUUUUAGUUAAUACAUGUUGAACAUUCUUGUAUACAUGUUGCACAUUUUUUAUAUGCACGCUAAACAUUUUUUAACUUACCGUCGAUCAUAUAUCGAAAUACAUGCUUAAAUUUAUAAAAUGCAAACUGAACAUUUUUUUAUUACAUGGGAGAGGACCAAGCGGGCUACCAAAACCCUAGAUGCCACCUCAUCUACUCCCCUCUCGCCGCCGCUAGGGCACAUCAAAGGGGAAAGCACAUGCGAUGGCGGCGACGGGUUUGUCUUGAUUGGGCGCAGCCUUCUUGCGGAGGAGUUGGAAGGUUGAUGCGGCAUGAAAAGAAAUGUGUGCUCUAGUGAUGGUCUUCGUCAGGCAGCACUCAAUGGCGCCAUUGGUGAUCUAGCACUGCAUUCUUCAACGGUGACCUGGCCUGGCUAGGGCAUUGAAGAAGAGGGAGGUGGUGCAUGGUCCUAGAUGCCUGGACGGUAGCGCGCUCAACAUCAAAACCAGAUCUAUCUUGCAGCGACAUGAGUGAUUUUUUUUUUGAAUUUUCUCUAGGGAGUCUUCAAGUUUAGUUUGGGGUGAUAAGACGACAUUGAUGUUCCAAUGUAAGAAUAAUGUCCUCCAUGCUCUUUCCCGGUUAAGUUGUUGUCCUUAUCACUGAUGGAGUGCGAUGCGAGUCAUGUCUUUGGUGCGUCUUUCGAGACCCAUUCAUUCAGGUUUUAUGGUGGAUCUAUCUGGAUUCUGACCACUUUCAUAGUCUUCAGAGUUUCUACACACUCUUGUCGGCGUUUUCUUCUUUGUGGUGAUGAUAUAAUUCACAAAUCAUGGGUGUGGGCAUCUCCUAGUCUACAUCGAUGACUUCCCAGCCACUGCUUCUACAAGCCCCUGGUUUUAAAAGUUUGCUUUUGCCGAGGCGAAGGCUCAGAGGCAACGUCGAGCUAUGCUCACAACAAGCCAGCGGUGGAUGCAGGAGGAAGAAGACUUCGACACCUUCAAGAAUUUGAAUGUAAUUUUAUUUUCUAUAUAGGCGUGUUUGUAUGGACCCAUGAUGCUUAAUUAUGUCCUUAAGCCCUUUUGUAAAAACAUUUUUUCAGUACAUAAUUAACAUCUUUUAAAUACAAAGUGAACGAAAAUUAAACACGUGUUAAGCAAUUUUUAUAAAUUCCAUGAACAUUCUUUUAAAAAGUGCAAUGCUUGUUAAAUGUUAGAACAUUUUAAAAAAAUUGCACACACAUUUUUUAUUUGUUAUGAAUGAUUUCCUAAUACUACAAGAAUAGUGUUUUAAAAGUCCGUGAACAUUUUUUUGAAAUAUCAUGAAACCUACUUUCAAAGAUUACUAGAAUUUCAUCAACAAUUUUUUAAAUGGUACGGACGUUUUUCAGAAAUUACGCAAACAAAAUUUUACAUUUUCAUGUUUUUUUUAAAUAUUGUCAGGAAAAUCUUUGAAAUGAGUGAACAAUUUUUAGAUGAAGCGGUUAUAUUGUUUUUGAAUGCUAUGCACACUUCUACAAUUGUGUGAACAAAAUUUUUUAUGAAGCACACACAUUUUUUGAAUAAGUGGCAAUUUUUUAAAAAUAUAAUUAAACUAGAUUUUGUAAUACAUAGACUCAGAAUAUUUCAAAAUAUAAAUAAAAGUAAAAAAAGAAAACAAAAAAGGAAGGAAGAAAGAAAUAAAAUGUUUGGAGUCCCUCCGCUCCAGACUUGGCGUGCGGAGCUGGCGGAGCUGCAGGCUAAAAUAAUGGAGGUGGAAAAUUGGUGCUCCCCAGAUCCUGUAGUUCCACGGAGCUGGUGGAUAGCCGCACAUGCCCUAACUAACUAACUGAACUAUUGUCCGUACGAACUAAUGGGCUGGCCCACUACAAUGUAGCUUGAGGUGAGUCGUCCAUUUGUUUCCGCCUAUCCAUGGAGAGCUCCUAUAGGGCGCCUUCAGCGCCGCUAAACCCAAUUGACGCCCACUGCAGCACCCUGGUGGGCCGGCCCGGUACCACGCGAAUCCAGCAAAUAAAAAUUAGACAAAAUUGCUGCAGCAAUGAAUCCGCGCUGUUUCAAAAAAAAACUCACGAACAAUAAAAAGAACGUCAAGAAUUUUUUUUUAAAAUAAAGGUUCAUGUAUUCAAAAAAGUUCACUAAUUUGAGAAAAAAGUUCACGGUUUUGAAAGUUCACUAAUUUAAGAGAAGUUCACAAAUUUCAAAAAAGUUCACGGAUGUGAAAAGUUCAUGAACAUUUGGAAAAGGUUCACGUAAUACAAAAUACUUCAAGAAAAUUGAAAAAAGUUCAUCGAAUUUGAAAAAAACUUCACCAAUUUUGAAAAAAGUUAAUUGGACUCCAGAAAAAGAUCAUCAAAUUUGAAAGAAAAUUCACGGAAUAUGAGAAAAGUUCACCAAGAAAAAACGUUCAACGAAUUGUAGAAAAAGUUGACGGAUUUGAACAAGUUCACCAAAUUUGAAAAAUGUCCAUCUAUUUCCAAAAAAUAUUCAUCAAAAAAUGGAAAAGUUCAUCGAAUUUGCAAAACAGUUCAUCAAAUUUGAAAAAAGAUCAUCGAAUUUGUAAAAAGUUCGUCAAAUUUGGAAAAAGUUCAUCAAAUUUAAAAAAAGUUCAUCAAUUUCCAAAAAAAGUUCAUCAAAAAAAUGAAAAGUUCACCGAUUUUGGAAAAAGUUUAUCAAAUUUGAAAAAUGGUUUAUUGAUUUUCGAAAAAGUUCAUAGAAAAAUGUAAAACGUUAAUCUAUUUGAAAAAGGAAGAAAGAAAAAAUAAAAUAGAAAAUAGAAAAAGGAAAAAAGAAAAAAAGAAAUGGAAAAAGAAAAUAGGAAAGAAUAAAGAAAACAAAAGAUGUAAUUUGUCCGAGCGGGUCCGGUGGCGCGGUGGUUAGUGCCACAUCCAUCGAAGCAGGAGGUCUCGUGUUCGAUUCGACCUAGGGUACCUCUUUUGCUGUAUAGAAACCAUAUAACCAAAGGGGAGAUGGGCCGGCCCAUUUGUGCCGAUGGAAGGGGAGAGGGGUGUGCGCCCGUUAGCAGGAAUGCCUGUAACGGCGCUUAAGGCGCUGAAUAGGAACCAGCUAUCCAUGAGUUUCCGCUGACCGAGUCACACUAUUUUUUGGGCCGUAGCCAAAUACUCUGGGUACUCGGCUUUCAGUGUUAUUCAACUAUCAAGGGGUGUUUUCCAAUCCAGUAGUCCACUGCAGCUAGCUGUAGGAGUGUCAGUUUUGUAGUAAAGUUGCAUUUGCAUCGAUUAAUUAUACACACGCUGUUUCUUGUAAAGACUUGUCGUACUCCGCACGGUUGUUAUGCGCCUCUAAGACCAUGGUCCCUACAACAACACAUAUACCCAUAGUAUGAAAACUGUAUCCACAACCUCAUCCAACUAAUUCCUAACAAUACCACCGAGAAAAUAUAUUCAUAACCAGUUCGUACGAACAACUACUACAAACUAUCAAUCAAAAAGCUCUUGCAUGACAUCCUGUACUCCAAUUACACCAGAACUACUCAAGUAUGGCAAAGGCUGUAUUUUCAAAUCUCUUCGGAAAUGACUUCUUGGUCGAAUCAAUGGAAAAAAUAAUCAGCACUGCAAUCGAAGAUGGGAGGAGCCGUGGAGGAGACCUUUUUAAUCCGGCGUCGGCGUGGUCGCUUGAGAAGCGAUGGCGCGAUCCCGGCGAUGGCUAUGUGAGGAGAAACAAGGUAGAUGGGGGUGGUUAGGAUAGGGUUGAUAUGCGGUAGAAUGGGAAGGUAUAUAUCCGUGAUUGUAGGGUUAAUUAGUUAUUUUGAAGUAAUGCGCUUCGAUGCAAGUUUUUUUUAACGAGCACAAUCUUUUGGGGGCUUCCAAAACAUGUGCACUGACCGCGGGUCCAACCACAUAUCACAGAAGCCCGAGCCAGAAACUUAUUGUUCUCUAAAAAAGGAAGAGUAAUAAAUUCCUUCCAAGAAUUUUCAGAAAUAAUUGUCAACCCAUUUUCGUUGGUAAUUACGUGAUAUGUUUGGCGCAAUUAGUGGCUAACUGGUUUUUUUUGAGGAAUAGUGGCUACUUGGUUUGAUACAUGCCAAACGUUACGUUCAGAUUAGUUGCAUUAUUUCGUUCAUUUUUUACCCAAAAAAUCUAUACAAAGUGUUAAUUGGACAAUCUGAACAAUGUGGCAUGUACCCUGAACCCUAACCCCCCCCCACACACACAAAACCAUAAAAACAUUCAAAAUUUUGCCCCACAUGGAAACCAUUAUGCAUGAAUUCUCUAUGGGGUCAUGGGAUGCCAUGAAGAAAGUUUGGGAUCAUUAGUACAUGUACGCAAGUACGAUCUCUGACACGCGCAUUUCCGGUCCCUGUACAUGUACAUGUAGACCAACCCAACAUCGAUCCGGUUCAGUGGAUGGAUGCAUGCUCUAUGUGGCACGAAGUAUGUCGGUCGACCCAAUCGACGGACCAGAUCGAUACUACCGGAGGGAUUCCAUUGUAGACCAACGCUCGACCUAUGUCCGGUGUGUGUGAUAGGUCCACUGUAAGACAAACAUAGUUCCGUCAACCCUAAAAUCGUAAACACUGAUAACCCUAACCCCCCCACUAAACCGUAAAAACAUUCAAAAUUUUGCCCCACAUGGAAACCAUUAUGCAUGCAUUCUCUAUGGGGUCAUGGGAUGCCAUGAAGAAAGUUUGGGAUUAUACACGCAAGUACGAUCUCUGACACGCGCAUUUCCGGCCUAGCAUGUCAACACCCCGAAAGCACUAGCUGGGUUCCUCACCUGUAUGAAACCAACCCAACAUCGAUCCGGUCCAGUGGAUGGAUGCAUGCUCUAUGUGGCACGAAGUUUGUCGGCCGAGCCAGUCAACGGACCGGAUCGAUGCUACCGGAGGGAAUCCAUUGUAGACCAACGCUCCACGAAUGUCCGGUGUGUGUGCUACGUCCACUGUAAGACAAACAUAGUUCCGUCGACCCUAAAACCCUAAACCCUGAUAACCCUAACCCCCCUCCCCACUAAACCGUAAAAACAUUCAAAAUUUUGCCCCACAUGGAAACCAUUAUGCAUGCAUUCUCUAUGUGGUCAUGGGAUGCCAUUAAGAAAGUUUGGGAUCAUUAGUACAUGUACACGCAAGUACGAUCUCUGACACGCGCAUUUCCGGGCUUGCAUGUCAACACUAAACCCUAAACCCUGAUAACCCUACCCCCCACUAAACCCUAANNNNNNNNNNNNNNNNNNNNNNNNNNNNNNNNNNNNNNNNNNNNNNNNNNNNAUCCAAAUCUCACAUAACUCACGCGGCCCACCCCUCCCUAAAUCCCGCGAUUAGAGCUCCGCAUUCUAACCACCCGGGCCGUCCGCACCUCCCACGACUGCUGCAAGAUCAGAUCAGAGACGCCGGUCGCCCACGGAAUACAGGAGUCGGCGGCCACCACUCGCCGCCCACCGCCAACGUGAUCUGAGGGGUCGGACGUCAGUGUUCUUCUCGCCGCCUCCUCCCCGCGUGAACGCGCCGUUUUUCCUUUGCGCCGUCGACCGCGCUAUACCGGCACUUAUAGUUUGCGACGCACUAACCGCCACCAUCUACUCGGCGGCACCGUCUCCGAGAGAAGGUAUUACCUGAUCGUAACUCUUUAUAAUCGUUGUCGGCCGCUCCUUUAGUAGUUGAACCCUCAUAGGUUUUGCACCCAAAUAGGUUCUAUGCUUAAACCCAUAAGUGGAUCAUAUGUUAAAUGACCCAGUUAAUUUUGUUAAAAUUAAUUCGCUGCUAAUUUUGUUAUACAUUUUCCAAUUUUGUUCAGAUUAAUUGAGCCGGAUUUUAUCAUUGCAUAUGAGCCAGCAAUGUCAGUUUCAGAUACGAACCUUCAUAAUGGAGAAAAGCCCAUCUCCGAAAUUACCGAUGCGGUAAGUAAUUGACUGUUUGUGUACAAUCGUUUCGUACACAUAAUUCAUGUGUACUCAGUAUAAUUUAAUGGCAUGUAACAGGAACUCGGCGAAAAGCAUGGUCGUAUGAAGUUAGUAUGCUCACAGACAAGGUUCGGAAAAACCAUGAAACUGUUGUCACCAGACCACAAAAAUGUACAUCAUAUCAGAAACCAGUCUUGGCGGUCUAACCCAGAUGCAUGAAGUGACUCUACGGCGCAUAAUGUUGGUUAGACUAGCCAAGAGCAUAGAUAUGGACACCCAAUCCAUUACCAUCGGAAAAACGCCAAUUCCUAUAACAAAAGAGGACGUGCAGUGUAUAUUUGGCAUUCCGAUAGAAGGGGAGGAUAUAAAGCCACAUCUGGAAAUGCAAACCGACACAGAAUUGUUUACCGCCUAUGCAAACAAUGGGCAAAUUUUGAUUUCUGACCUUGAAACGGCGAUCCGAGCUUCCAAAGCCCCAGACGGCGAUUUCCUGAGACGGUUCAUUCUGUACGCAAUUGGUACUGUUCUAGCACCAACAGCACAACAUUAUGUGGACUCGAAAUUUCUCAACCUUGUUACAGAUCUUCAAAACCUUCGGAAAUUUAACUGGGGAUGUUUCACACUUAAUCACUUCUUCAAGUCCGUUCACAAGUUUAGAAAUCGAGAUCACGUAAAUCUACAAGGAAAUCUAAUUCUGCUCCAGGUUAGUGCUAGAUCACUACUUAAUGUCCUUUAAUUAUUGUUCUGUUGCAUAUCUGUAUGGUGAUGAACUAAUUUAUUGUGUAGUAUUGGUACUGGGAGCACGUGCGUAGUGGCCGAUUGAUGUAUGCUUCUGGACCCCCUCCAUUGAUCGCACGAUGGGACGAAAUGACGGCUACUUUAAGAAGCGAUGCUUACGACAAAGGAGGUCUUCAUAACGGGCUGGUACCUAUCUACAAUUGAACUUUCUAUAUCCGAUUUUUUUAUUUGAUACUAAUGGUUCAUUAUAUUUUAUAAAAAAAGGCUGUCAUGGAAAUUUGUGCUCCUCAACGACCGUCUGAGAAUUCUAAUAAUUUUCCAAGAAAAAAUGAUGAACAUGUGCAUCAACAUGAUUCGUAUCGAGCACCAUCACAAGGACAGCAAUUUAGUAGCCAACAAGUAUGUACUCCAAAGACUAUUUGUUUUUGCAAUAUCACAAAUAGGUGUCAUGGAGCCUCAUUCAUUUAGCUAUUGUUAUCAACGGGGUUUUAUUUUGUUUACACAGAUUGACAUGGUAGUUGAAGCCAUGAAUGCACACUUAGCUGAUCAUGAAAAGAAGGUAGGCAGGAAGUUAAUGGAAAUUGAGCACAGAUUUGAUGUCAAAUACCAGACGCUAGGUGAAGACUUGAUCGACAUGAAGACUAAAACUGGCACUAAUCCUAGGUUGUCGAAGGCCGAGGACGAAAUUAAAGACUUAAGGAGGGAACUACAUGUAUGUCAUACUGUGCAUUUUGUAUUUUGUAUGAAUAUGUUCCUUCAUGUUCAUUAUUGUUUGCAUUGUUACAGGAAUUAAAAUACGAAUUUACAAGCAACCGACAAUCAGUGUCAUAGAAAGGAGGCGUGCAGGUGAUCUUUAUGGCCCAACACGUUAAUAUCUAAAAGUAACAAACUAAUGAUGAACUACCUUUGUUCUUUGUAGGAUCAAGUCAAUGUGUGCAAUUCAUCCCUGACAGGAACUCCUAGGGCUAGCCAAUUCACGGCAGGGACUUCGACUACACCAAGUGCAAGACAUGUGACGGAAAACAAUGAGAAACCACAAUUAACUCCGAUGAAGCCUGUCUUUGGUAAUGAUUACAAGUUCACGGAUGAGGACGUAGAGACAGCCGUUUACAUCCGCGGAACAUACGACCCUGUUGAAAUAGCUAGAAUCGGAGACAUUACCCUCACAGCAGAAAAACUGAAGCGAAAUUUGGACGACAAAUACAUUUAUGGUGAUGUAAGCCCAUUAUACUCUAGUCUACAUCAUUACUGCAACAACUUUCUUAUUAUUGUAUGAUUGAAAAUUUGGCAGGUUAUUAUGGCAUAUGCUCGCAUUAGCCAAAUUGAGAAUGAUACUACCUCAAUCAUAUCCCCUGAAGAAACCGAAAAGCUGUUACAAAUGAAGGGGGUGGUUCCUGUUGGACGUGCAGCCUCAUGGUUAGCUCGUAUAGCAGAAAAAUUUGUAGGGCGCCGAAAGGUACAUGUUUUCCUCACUUUCAUAGUUUAUGUACACACUGUACACGACAAAUUUCGGUUCUCAACCCAACCCAAAUUUUACUACAGGUGCAUGUCCCACUGAAUAUACACCAAAACCAUUGGAUGCUAAUGAUGUUUAAUUUUGACAAAAAAGAAAUUCAGACUCUGAACUCCAUGAAUUAUCAUUGCGAGAAGACCAAGGAAGAUUCUCUUGUAAGUGUUCUCUUGCUGCCUUUUUUGAUCCGCAUGGCACAUGAGCUCCCAAAGUACCGUAACCCUAUGUAUAACUCGUCGUACCCUAGGUGGACUCGAUUCAGUUCUGCAUCGACGAAGCUGUCAAGAAUGGGUUGAUAUCACCAGCUAAGAACAUCAAUUUUGCCGAAUGGACCAAAAAACGCUAUGAGAACAUACCACAACAGACCGAUGGGUACGCAUGGCCUCAUAAAUUAUUGUUUGCCUACACGAAUAAGAUUACUGAUCUUUAACUAAACAUCGCAGGACUUCCUGUGCGGUUUGGACACUGCAGUACAUGUUGUCAUGGAACGGGGAUGAAAUGACCGAUAUUUUUAACCAGGUAAUUGAAUGCCUAAUUUACAUUUGUACUUUGUUUAGCUUGAAAGCUAUCCUGACGUAAGUGUCGGUUAUCAAAUAUAGGCAAGGAUAGAUAUUUUCAGGUGGAAAAUAUGUACAGCCUUACUGCAUUCAAAUUGCAACGCGCUUCGUCUCGAAUCAUAUAAGUUCCCCAUAACGGUUAGUGCUACAUCAAGAAUAUAUCAUUUAUUUCAUAAGUCUCAUGAUUAGAACUAACGCAGCACUCUCUCUUAUACAGAAGGAGGUGUACGAUGCCCAGCAAGCAGUUCUACCUGAUGGUUCAGAAGACGACGUACAAUUAGUCAACAAUCCUGAUGGUUCCAACGAACCCGACACAUCCAACUCCCAGAAGGAUACCGGUGCACCCAACUCCCCCAAAAGUGGUGCACCCAACUCCCCAAAAAGGAAGAGAGCACGUGGACGCCCGAGAAAGCUAGUCGAUCCCGACGAAGCAGCAAAAACAAAGAGACUUAAAGAACUGAAACUUAAAUUUGACAGCAAGACCAUAGCCAACCAAGUGUCUUCGUUACCAUCACGGUCACGCAGAGAGCAUAAACCAGCACCAGCUUUAUUGAGCCCAUUCAAACACAAAUAGGUAGCAUCAGUUGAUCAUCAAUUGAUACAAUGCUCAUGCUCAUGCUCUACUUUUAGCAUCAUUUCAUACACGUUUAGUUCUUAUCAGAAAGUGGAAAUAGGUACUUUUGGCAAUCAUGAGCAUCCUCUACUUAUAGAAAUAUCUAAUGCAUCAUCAGUACAAAGCUUGAUUUGGCAAUAGGUGGAAUCGGCAAUCAUUUGCAUGCUUUAAUUUUGUGAAGCUAUAAUCAUGCUGAGUUAUACACUAAACAUAAUCAUGCCAAGCUAUAACUAUCAUAGUCAUAAACCAGGCUUUUCUUAAGCACAGGUGCUUAUUUGUACAGGGUAGACGCAUAACUAGGCGUCUCUCCUGUAGAAAUAGGCAUCGGUGCUUCGGAAAAACCCUAUUUAUUUUUCUAAGCACCACCCUAAGCAUCUAGCAUUGUACAAGGCUUAACAUGCAUCACCAAAAUAGUAUUAACAACUUGGAACACUAAACCAGAGUAGCAGCAAACUCUUAAGAUAAACGGCAUAGGUUCAGACACACCAUAGGACAUCAGUUUUAGAGUCGAACAACAAAGAAACAUAGAUAACAUAAGAGGACACGGCGGUCCUGGGGCAGCACCAGCACUCUAGCAGCACAUCACUUCUCUCCCUUCUUCAAUGGAGGUUGUAGGGCUCAUUGACUUUGACAAUCUCGAGGAAGCGUGCGUAGGCCGCAUGUUUAGCCAGAGUACUGGCCUUAUGGUUCUUACCAUGCCCAUUGCCAGUGCUGAAGGCAUGCUGGAUCAUGCCAUCUAUGCCGCCACCGAUCACCUUGCAACAGAAAGGGCACCCAAUCUUGCCAAAGAAACGGUACUUGAUCUUGCCAGCAAUCAGAUGCCUCAGGGUGUAGCGGCUCUUGCUGUGCCUGCUGUCCAUGCCGUAGUCCACGUCGUCGUCAUCCUCCUGUGAAUUAGUGAAUUAGUACACAUAGAAGAACUCAGCUAAUCUAUUAUGGUACAUUGCCUUUAUUACAAUGUUUUGAAAGUACACAUGUGUAACAUGGCAACUAUCUAUUUGCUAGAAAUAAGGCGUAUGUGCACAUACAUAAUUGAGCCAAAGAAAUUGACAUGCAUAAAUAUGGACGGUGGAAUAGUUGCAUUUAUAGAUUAGUGCACAAGUAGUACAUAAUUAACACAUGAAAGACUUCAUGAACUGGCUUGGUUUAAUGAUAUUUGAUACUUGUUACAGGUGUAAUUCUGAUUGGAAUCAGAAAAAUGGCUUCAUUAUACUCCUCCAUGUUUCACACAAGGGGGGUUUGUUCUAUCUACUGGAAUGAAGAAACAAUUAUUCUUUCUGACAGCGGCAAUACUGCUUCUCCAACAUUGUUAGACCCUGAUAAGUUUCAGAAGGAAAUUGGUAAAGGAGCUAUGGGGUGUCUCACUGCUCAUAUUGAUGAGAGAUGUGGCUGUGAUCAUGUAGAUAAUAUACUGGGGAAAAUUGGCUACAUGAAAUGUUUUGAUUUUGUGUCAGCCCAUAAUUAUUAAGGGAGCAAUCACUUCCUUUACAAAAUGGAAAUCUGUACAGAAUUUGCAAAUGGAUCAUCUAUGAACAUGUGUGCAAACUGAUCAUCUAUGAACAUGUGUGCAAAUUAAUUCAUCUACAUAAACUAAAAUGAAUCAGGAACUGCAGCAUUUUGUCACUGUCCUGGGGAAGCCAAUGGAGAAUCCUGCCAUAUAUCCAUUGUUUAACCCACUUUUUUCAUUAAUGUAUCCCUGCCAUGAACAUUUUCUUGUAUUUGGGUUCAUUACCCCACUUCUUUCAUUAAUGUAUCCCUUGUGAAACUUAUGCUCAUCUAGUUAACAAGACAAACCCCAAUGCCAUGAAAAGAAACAGAGUAUCUGCUGGAAUCAGAAUGUGAAUCAGAUUUAAAAUUCCACAUCCAACAUGAAGAUCUAUGCUACAUCCCUACAAUCCUACAUACGUACAACUAGCAUGCCCUAAUUUAUUUGAUGCUCAUCUAGUUAACAAGAAAAACCUCAAUGCCAUGAAAAAAACCAGAGUAUCUGCUGGAAUCAGAUUUAAAAAUCCAGAUCCAACAUGAAGAUCUAUGCUANNNNNNNNNNNNNNNNNNNNNNNNNNNNNNNNNNNNNNNNNNNNNNNNNNNNNNNNNNNNNNNNNNNNNNNNNNNNNNNNNNNNNNNNNNNNNNNNNNNNNNNNNNNNNNNNNNNNNNNNNNNNNNNNNNNNNNNNNNNNNNNNNNNNNNNNNNNNNNNNNNNNNNNNNNNNNNNNNNNNNNNNNNNNNNNNNNNNNNNNNNNNNNNNNNNNNNNNNNNNNNNNAAUGAAUUUGAUGCUCAUCUAGUUAACAAGAAAAACCUCAAUGCCAUGAAAAAAACCAGAGUAUCUGCUGGAAUCAGAUUUAAAAAUCCAGAUCCAACAUGAAGAUCUAUGCUAAAUCCCUACAAUCCUACAUAUGUACAACUAGCACGCCCAAGUGAAAUUGAUGCUCAUCUAGUUAACAAGAAAAACCCCAAUGUCAUGAAAAAAAACAGAGCAAAAAACAGAGUACUACCUCAGAUAGCUCGUCGAUGGCAUCCUUCUCGAAGUCGCUGCCCUUCCUGCAAUCUACGUCGAACUCCUUUAUGGCGUUCUCCUCGUAGAGCUCUUCGAUUUCGUCAUGCACCUUGCGCUUAAGCCUUCUCAUCUCCUCCUCCUCCAGAUCUUCCCCGACCUUCUGCUCGCCGACGGGUGCCUCCACGACUGCGAUGGCAGCGGGAGCAGGCACAACGGUCGCUGCACCGCCAGCUUUCACCGCUACGGCGGACUCAGCCGCUCCACCCACGGCUGCAGCCACGGCAGCAGACUGCUCUGCUCCGAUGGUUGCCUCCGGCUCGUCCGCCGCAUCUUCACGUCCGCAUUUCAUCGUCGGUCAAAGACAGGAGGAGGGAGGCGUAGGAAGGGAGGAGGGUGGUGAGGAAGGAGGAGAGGGUGGUGAGGUGGUGAGGAAGGAAGAGAGGGUGGUUAGGUUUGGGAGAGGACGAGGGUUUUCUACUCGAUUUGGGGAAGAAAUGCACUGCUCCUGCCUGUUGGAGUUAUCGAGAAGUCGCGGGUGCCGAUUUGACUUGACACACCCACCCGGCCGUCCCCAUUCCACGUGGGGACGUGGCGGUCGUGCACGCGGUCGUGCACCUCCUGCGGUUUGCCAUCAAUUGCUAUCGGUCUGACAAGUGGGUCCCCUUGUCAUCCACACAACCACGCCACCACAUGUACCACAUUUUUCUUUCUCCCCGUCUCGACCACUCCACAUCUUUCUUUCUCCCCUACUCGACCAGCGCCGCCGCCGCCGCCAUCUCCCGACGACCCCUCUCUUCGCUGCCGGUGCGCGGCCGCCGCGAACUCCGGCAAGUACGUGAGAUCUCCCCUCUUCUUCCCUUCCCCAACCGCGUCUCCCUACGGAGGCGGAUCUGAGCCGAUUGGCUGUUGCCGGCCGGAGCUCGUCGGAUCUGAGCUUUGUCCACGGUUUGAACCUGUGGAUUCAAUCCAAAAGUUGAAAACGGUUUGGACUGGGUUGGAUGACGAGCAUGUAUAGUUCGGUUUGGUCUAGAUUCUAAAUGAAAAUAUCUGGAUUGGUUUGGUUUUGAUGUGUGCCGUGGAUUGGACUGGUUUUAGUUUGGAUGCCGAACUAUUCCCAGGUUUAGAUGAGACGGGCAUUGCCAUUGUCAUUGGCAUUGCUUUAUUACGUAGAUGAUAGUAAAUAGAUUGAUUGGCCAUUGCCAGUAUUGGUUAUCACUAUGAUUUAUUAUACGUAUGAUCUUUGUAUUGUACUAUGUACAAUUCAACUUAGAGUUCAACAUGUUCUGUGUAGAAUGGAGGAAGCACCAUGUGGACGGUGCAACUCACGGUGCCGGACCAGCCUUUCUACUGCCACGCUGUUCGGCAUCUACUUCCAGCCUUCUUUUGUUGUUGCAUCGGUAACAAUUUAUAUGAACCUUCUGACAGUACAUUCUUUUUUUUUGCUAUUUCCACUAAUGUAUUGUGUCUGUUAUUUGUUUUUAUCUUACACAGAUCGUACCAUGCAAUGUGAGAUUGGCAUUCAAUGAGCUCAUCGGAGACACCGUGACCUUCGACGCUCUUGGGGGCCCAUACACUAUGCAGGUCGAGAAGGGGCGAAAGAUAACCCAGAUAGGAGGAGAUGAUUGGGAUCGUUUCAUCGCCCGCAUGCGUCUUAGUGGGGGUGAAUUGAUCAGCUUCUCCUUCAGAAGAGAUAGGCCCAGGAUUUCUGUUAUCUAUCUAAAUUUGAUUCCGGAUAGUGAGGAUGAAGUUCAUGAGGAGGAAGAUGGUGCUGAUUCAGAUGAUGACGAUUCAGAUGAUGACGAGAACCCACUUGUUGAAUACCUGUAUGCCCAAGGACUCAGACUGGGCGACGAGGAAAUCGGCAACCUCUGGGACAUGCUUCCGCUACGUGAAGACUACCUAGGGAAGCCAUUGGUGACCCGCCUCACAAGGACGAAUGUUAAACGGCAUAUCAUGGCAUGUUACUUAGUGUGGUAAUUACAUGAUAUGCAUGCUUAGUUAGUGUAGUAGUUCAUAUGGUAUGCAUGUUGUAGUACUGUGAUGAGAGGCCUAGUUUAGAAUUCAUUUAGUGAAGAAUUUUAUGACAUGCAUGUAGUGUAGUAAUAUGCGAUGAUAUGCUUAGUGUACGCAGUAAUCUAAUGAUAUGCCUAAUUACUGUAGAAAUUUUAUGCUUGGCGUAUAGUGUAGUGAUGUGAUGAUAUAUAUGCUCAGUGUUGAAUCCAAUGAUAUAUGUGUCUUGAAGUGUAUGCUUUGUUGAUAAUUGCACGUGACAUGAUCAUAUAUCAUGUCAACUGUUUUCAGAAAUUACCUAAGAGGUUACUUGAUAGCUGUGGCAUCGACCCGGACGAAGAAGGCAUGGCUGCUGGACUACGCCUUACCAGAACGGGCUCCAUCACCAGCUGUGCCUAUGCAGUGGACACGGACGGUCGCACUGUCUUGAGAAGGGCAGGGUGGAAGAAGUUCCUUCGUGGCAAGAAUCUUCGGGUAGGACAGGCCAUCCUACUCACUGUUGCGAACACCAGUCGCCAUGACUUGAGGAUGAUGAUCACCAUCCACCUCAUUUAGAACUUGUUAUGUUAGCUCUUGUUUGCGAGUACUUGUCGUGUAUUACCGUACCUAUAUCUACUCAUAUCUAGGUACUAUUGCUUGUGAUGGAUUGCAACUAUUAUUAACUGGUAACUAAUGCUCUACUAGCUAUGAUUAUUCCACUGUGUGAUGUUUUAUAGACUGUAGUGUGACAUGGUAACUGUUAUAUAUGGUAGAGGCUGGUCUCUAAGACCUUGUACAAUGCAAGGUGCUUAGGGAUGUGCUUAGAAAAAUAAAGCGGUUUUUUCUGAAGCACCAGUGCCUAUUUCUACAGGAGAGACGCCUAGUUAAGCGUCUACCUUGUACAAAUAAGCACCGGUGCUUAAGGAAAACCUGGUUUAUUUCUCUAAGGACCCCUCCUAAGCACCCUGCAUUGUACAAGGUCUAAUUGGACCGACAUGUUGAACUAGUAUCAAUGGUAGAGGCUGGCUGCCACAAAGUUCCAUUCACAAGCUACUAUGAAUUUGAAAUAAUGCAUAAACAAAAUACGAAGCUUUUCUUAAGCACAGGUGCUUAUUUGUACAGGGUAGACGCUUAACUAGGCGUCUCUCCUGUAGAAAUAGGCACCGGUGCUUCAGAAAAACCCUGUUUAUUUUUCUAAGCACCACCGUACGCAUCAAGCAUUGUACAAGGCUUAUCAUGCAUCACCAAAAUAGUAUUAACAACUUGGAACACUAAACCAGAGUAGCAGCAAACUCUUAAGAUAAACGGCAGAUCAACCACCGCACAUCAUAAGUUCAGACACACCAUAGGACAUAAGUUCAGACACACCGAACAACAAAGAAACGUAGAUAUCAUAAAAGGACACUGCGCUAGCAACUUGAAGGCAGACUUUGAUCUCUCUUCAUGCCGCGUAGUGGCAGUGGUAGUAGGGCUCAGCCUCCUGUGCUUCUGAAAUUUCCACACCUGAUUUGAUGUUGUCUAUUAUCUUCCAAGCCUUGUAGGUGGCGUACGCAUCCUUCGCUGCGUACUCGAUGAGGUAGUCUGGCAGCGGGUUGAUCCCCCACGGUUUAUGGUCUUCGGUCCUGUUGAUCUUCUCCUUCAUGUUUUGGUAAAAUGGGUGGAUGACGCUGGCUGCAACAUCAGCCAAGGAGUCGUACGGCUUCUUUCUGCCGGCAUAUGGAACUCUAUAGUUUUUCUGAAUGUCGAUGUACUUUUCGGGGUUGAUCUCCAAACCAGACAUCUUCAGCAUCUGUUUGUCAUUAUGAAUGCUGAAACCGGCAAAGGUGAACAACUUCUUCUCCUGGAGGAAGCUCUUGAGGCGCUUGGGCCUUCAAGGGGAGAGACAUAUUGAAGAUUAGUAGUAAUUUUGAAGAUUUAGGAGUUGUUUGGUUUGUGACUAAGUUUGCCAAAGAUUGCCACACCUAAGGUUAGGCAAGUUUGACCAACUUAGGUGUGUGUUUGGUUCAAGCCACACCUUAGGCAAGCCACACUUGGGUCCCACAUGGCAUACACACAAAAAGUGUGGCAAGAUUCCCUUAGGCUUGCCAACUUGUGGCCCUCAUUUUGAUGAACUAACCUUAGGCAAACUUGGCAAAAAAUUGUGGCAAAGUGUGACAAUGCUAGUGCUAGAACCAAACAAUACGAGUGAUGAAUGCAUGAAGUACAUGAUGUUAUUUCUCUUUUUGGAUCAUACAGUUGAAAAUAACACUACAGCAAACUACUUCACUACAUCAACUUCAGAAACAACUUUUAAUACAUCUAGUCUAGUGCAUCCACACCGGUAGACACAACACUAAUGCAUCAAUAUCAGAAACUACACUAGUAUAUCAGAAACUACACUAGUAGACACAACACUAAUACAUCUAGUCCGGUGCAUCAACUUCAGAAAAUAACACUAAUGCAUCCACAGCGGUAGACAUAACACUAAUGCAUCAAGAUCAGAAACUACACUAGUAUAUCAAGUUUGGUGAUUAAUCUGGUGCAAGAUUUUAAGAUACUAAUCCAGUGCAUCAGGGUAAAAAUCUAUGCCAGUGCAUGUACUUGAGAAACCACACUAGUGCGUCCACUUCACAAUCUACACUAGUACAUGUAGUUGAGAAACUAGGGUAUAUGAGUAGGAUGGCUCACCAUUUUGUGGCCGCAGCGAUGUGGUAGACCAGGCAGAGUUCAUCCACGCAUAACUGCAGAACUGCUGCGUACUGCGGAGGUUCGUCAUCCCUGGUAUACUCCACGUCAACGCCGAUGAAUCUAGGAUACAUGCCGACGGCUUUCAUGAAGAGCCUCGUGAGCAUUUCGUCGGCAGUGUCUGGAUUGCUGGUGCAGACGACCUCCAGCGUCUCUUUGCCAUGGAGUUCCACCUUGUCAAGUUUGGUGGUGUAGUCGCGCUUCUCACCGGGGACCUGAACGUCGUCUUCCUUGAUGCUCUGCUCGGACGUCUCGCCACAGUGACGCUUGGUAGACGGCUCCUCCGCCAUUGCCCUUCUCCAGCGACGGCGGUUUUGAGACAGAGACGAUGGUUGCAGUUUGUGGAGUAGAUGGACGUGGUUUGCAUAAUGAGGGAGGAAUGGAGGAGAAGGUGACUUUUUGAGUUCUGGGGGAGGCGGUUCGUCGCGUGAGGGAGGCGCUCGUCGUUAUCGUGAUCGUGGGGCUCGUGCUGUUGGUGUUCCAUUCUGUAACCACCCACGGGCCUGCAUCGUGGCCCAUAUCACUGGGUUUGUAGUCGUAUGCAGGCCGUGGUGUGUGAGAAAACUCAUGUUAGGUAGGUGGGAUUUUCUCCUCCUUCACCCGGCGGCCGUGAUGUAAACAUGAGAAGCAAGUUUGCUAAGGUUGUAAACGGACCCAAUAUUUUUCUACAUCUUUGUAUCAACAUGAAAAGCAAUCAUGACUAGUUUGCUAAGGUUGUCGGCAUUUGUAUGGAUUUUCUAAGGUUUUUGCAACGAUAAAAUGCUUAAAACACUUCUGACAUGUUGUGAUGUUUUCGGUAUUUAGUGGUCUACUCGCUGGGAUUAUUCCACUGUGUGAUGUUUUGUACGUGCCAGGUUGUAGUAUGAAAUGCUAACUGUUCUAUAUGGUAGUGGUUGGUCUCUAAUUGGACCGACAUGUUGAACUAGUAUCAAUGGUAGAGGCGUUUCGUUGUGCGCCACAUCCAACAGUUCACAUAAUUAAUUAUCCAAAGACUAAGGUAUCAAACCCUUGGUCAUACAAAGCAACAUUUCGUUCCUAAAAAUUAAGGUACUUCCACAUUCAAACUAACUAAUACUACAAAUUCGAAGGAACUACUUAAUACAUUAACAGCACAUAGGGAAGUAGCCCUGCUCCAACGGCUAGAGAAAGGACGAACAAAAGCUGAAAGAAGAAGGAUCAGCCAGUAGCAGCACCAUCAGCCUCCCAACCUCACAACUUCAGCCAGCCUGGUGAACUCUAGGUUUUUUCCUGCAAAACACACAUGGGAUGUUGGAGGCAAGAAAAUAAAUUUGCCAGGGGUCUUGUCAUGGCAUCUAAUCGCACAGAAUGCUAGUACAAAUGAUGGAGAACAAAACAUCCAACGUGAGCAAAUUCAUAGGAGUUCUAGAUCCAUGGAUACCAUCAAGAAAAAAUGCUCAGUUCUAAUUCAGACACAACACUUGGUGAAAACAUGCAUAUUCAUAUCAGCAACAUUGAUAUGGCAUCUUUGCAAGCUUGGGUCAGUGACUUGUCUUGUGUUUCAUGGCAUGACAAUAAUUUUAACAAUAAAUAGACAUGAAAUUGACCCAAACUCAUGUACAAAGUUAGGACAUAUGAUGCAUGGAUUAAUUCACAAAUAAAUGACAAAAUGCCAACUUUGUAUAGAAUUUGCAGUACUGAAAUAUUUCAGUGUGUACCGGUGUGUACUGAAACUACAGUACUGAAAUAAUUCAGUGUGCAUCGGUGUGUACUGAAAUUGUAGUAACGAAAUAUUUCAUUGCCUACCGGUGUGUACCGAAAUAUUUCAGUGUCUACCACUACAACAUUACAAAUUUUGCCUAGGGCAGUACCGAAAUAUUUCAGUGCCUACCGGUGUGUACCAAAAUAUUUCAGUGUCCACCACUACAACAUUACAAAUUUUGCCUAGGGCAGUACCGAAAUAUUUCAGUGCCUACCGGUGUGUACCAAAAUAUUUCAGUGUCCACCACUACAACAUUACAAAUUUUGCCUAGGGCAGUACCGAAAUAUUUCAGUGCCUACCGGUGUGUACCGAAAUAUUUCAGUGUCUACCACUAGAACAUUACUAAUUUUUCCUAGGGUUCAUAUGAUGCCUAGGGUUCACAUACAUCAUAAUCAUCCUCCAAAUCCAUGUACUCAAAUAUUCAUGCAAUUCAUUGAGAUUAAANNNNNNNNNNCCAAAAUAUUUCAGUGUCCACCACUACAACAUUACAAAUUUUGCCUAGGGCAGUACCGAAAUAUUUCAGUGCCUACCGGUGUGUACCAAAAUAUUUCAGUGUCCACCAGUACAACAUUACAAAUUUUGCCUAGGGCAGUACCGAAAUAUUUCAGUGCCUACCGGUCUGUACCAAAAUAUUUCAGUGUCCACCACUACAACAUUACAAAUUUUGCCUAGGGCAGUACCGAAAUAUUUCAGUGCCUACCGGUGUGUACCGAAAUAUUUCAGUGUCUACCACUAGAACAUUACUAAUUUUUCGUAGGGUUCAUAUGAUGCCUAUGGUUCACAUACAUCAUAAUCAUCCUCCAAAUCCAUGUACUCAAAUAUUCAUGCAAUUCAUUGAGAUUAAAAUGCCAUAUAGCAUUCCCUCUCUGAGCUAUUACUAUCAGUAUCACCACGAUGUAAGCACGAGCAGUAGGAAGAUGAGGAGUGGGGAAGCUUACUCUAAACAUAGCUACCGCCGCCGUUCAGACGAGGAGAGCGGCGAGGGAAGCGUGGAGAACGGCGGGGAAGCAAGGUCGCGACCACUGUCCUCCUCAUCUUGUGCUUCGGAGUCUCCGAUGACUCGGUUGGAGGCUGCACAAUCUGGAACGGCACCUCGUGCACGGUGGGUUCCUGAUCCAGUGGAUGCUCUACCCUGGAUCUGAACGCCCACCACCUCCGCCUGGUCCACUUGCUGGAUGAAUUGGCCUGCUCCAUCGCCCAGAGGAGGAUCUCAAUCUUGUGAAUCGGUUGUGCGGGCGGGGGGAAAGCUUUGCCCUCUCCUUCUUCGUCAAAUUCUUGAGAGUGGCCAUUGCCGUCCAGCUCAUCUGCCUUGUGUUGUCAAACCAAGAACGGAUCUCCCUCAACCUGGCCAACUUGACCUGGUCGCCGCCGGCGAUCUGCACGAAGUCGGUGUUCUCGCCGCUGGCCAUCAGCUCGAUCUGCCGAUUCUUGCUUUGAUGGAAGAGGCGGUGGGCUUGGGUGGGGGGGUGUGACGCCCCCGAUUUGACCGUACACUAAUCAUGCACGCAAAUGUGUACGAUCAAGAUCAGGGACUCACGGGAAGAUAUCACAACACAACUCUACAACAUAAAUAAGUCAUACAAGCAUCAUAAUACAAGCCAGGGGCCACGAGGGCUCGAAUACAAGUGCUCGAUCAUAGACGAGUCAGCGGAAGCAACAAUAUCUGAGUACAGACAUAAGUUAAACAAGUUUGCCUUAAGAAGGCUAGCACAAAAGUAGCAACGAUCGAAAAGGCAAGGCCUCCUGCGUGGGACCUCCUAACUACUCCUCGAAGCCGAACUCCAUGUAGAAUCAUCCUCGGGAUCUCUAGCAUCUGGUUGCGACAAUCAGGUAUAGAAAGGGGAAAAGAGGGAGAAAAGCAACCGUGAGUACUCAUCCAAAGUACUCACAAGCAAGGAGCUACACUACAUAUGCACGGGUAUAUGUGUAAAGGGCCAUAUCAGUGGACUGAACUGCAGAAUGCCAGAAUAAGAGGGGGAUAGCUAAUCCUGUCGAAGACUACGCUUCUGGCAGCCUCCAUCUUGCAGCAUGUAGAAGAGAGUAGAUUGAAGUCCUCCAAGUAGCAUCGCAGAGCAUAAUCCUACCCGGCGAUCCCCUCCUCGUCGCCCUGUUAGAGAGCGAUCACCGGGUUGUAUCUGGCACUUGGAAGGGUGUAUUUUAUUCAGUAUCCGGUUCUAGUUGUCAUAAGGUCAAGGUACAACUCCGGGUCGUCCUUUUACCCAGGGACACGGCUAUUCGAAUAGAUAAACUUCCCUGUAGGGGUGCACCACAUAACCCAACACGCUCGAUCCCAUUUGGCCGGACACACUGUUCUGGGUCAUGCCCGACCUCGUAAGAUCAACACGUCGCAGGCCCACCUAGGCUAAUAGAGAGGUCAGCACGCCGGUCUAAACCUAUGCGCGCAGGGGUCUGGGCCCAUCGCCCUAUGCACACCUGCACGUUGCGUACGCGGCCGGAAGCAGACCUAGCCCCCUUAAUACAAGCGCGAGCUUACGGUCCAAUGCGGCGUGCGCCACUCAGUCGCUGACGUCAAAAAGAGCUUCGGCUGAUACCACGACGCCGGGAUACCCAUAACUACUCCCGCGUAGAUGGUUAGUGCGUAUAGACCAAAUGGCCAGACUCAGAUCAAAUACCCAGAACUCGUUAAGCGUGUUAUUUAUCCGCGAACGCCGACUAGGGCCAGGCCCACCUCUCUCCUAGGUGGUCUCAACCUGCCCCGUCGCUCCGCCAUAAAGUAACAGUCGGGGGCCGUCAGGAACCCAGGCCCACCUCUACCGGGAUGGAGCCACCUGUCCUUUCAGCCCCCUCAUCAGAAUCACUUGCGGGUACUCCUCGAGCCGACCCGACUUUAGUCACCACAUGUGUCAUGUAUAUAAUGUAUAUAGUAUAUACCCAUGAUCACAUCCCGAAGUGAUCACGGCCCAGUAGUAUAGCAUGGCAGACGGACAAGAGUGUAGGGCCACUGAUGGAACACUAGCAUCCUAUACUAAGAAGUAGGAUAGCAGGUAAGGGUAACAACUGUAGCAACAAUGACAGGCUAUGCAACAGAAUAGGAUUAACCGAAAGCAGUAACAUGCUACACUAUUCUAAUGCAAGCAGUAGAGAGUAGAGUAGGCGAUAUCUGGUGAUCAAGGGGGGGGGCUUGCCUGGUUGUUCUGGCAAGAAGGAGGGGUCGUCAACUCCGUAGUCGAACUGGGUAGCAGCAGUGUCGGUCUCGUAGUCUACCGGAGAAGAAGAGGGGGAAGAAACAGUAAAUACGGAGCAAACAAAGCAUCACAAAACAUAAGGAGGCAAAAUGCGAUGCUAGGUAUGCCCUAACGUGGUAGGAGGUGAUACCGACGAAGGGGGGGAAACAUCCGGGAAAGUGUUCCCGGUGUUUCGCGUUUUCAGACAGAGGUGCCGGAGGUGAAAUGUUGGAGGUUCACUAUGCUAGGGACGCGUGGCGGACGUACGGGGUGCGUAUCCGGAUUCGUCUCGUCGUUCUGAGCAACUUUCAUGUUGAAAAUAAUUUAAUCCGAGUUACGGGUUAAAAGAUAUGAUUUUCUAAAGAUUUUAAUAAUUUCUGGAAUUUAAUUAAUUAUUUAAUUUUAAUUCAAAAUGGAUUUAUGACAUCAGCAUGAUGUCAUGCUGACGUCAGCAGUCAACAUUGACCGUUGACCUGGUCAACCUGACAGAUGGGUCCCACCUGUCAGGGACUGUUUAGCUAAUUAACAAUGAUUAAUUAGGUUAACUAGUUAUUAGGUUAAUUAAGUUUAAUUAGUUUAACUUAACAGGAUUAAUUAAGUUAAUUAAUUAUCUUUAUUUAUUAUUAUUAUUAUUAUUAUUUUUUAAUUAUUUAUUUUUAUUAAUUUAAUUUAUUAUUUUUAUUAUUUAUUAUUAAUAUUUUUUAAUCAUUAUAUAUAUAUAUUUAUUUUUUUAUUUUUAUUUUUAUUUUUUUAUUUUUUGUUCUCAGGGUGUGGGCCCCGUUUGUCAUUGGCCAGAGGCCUUAGCGGGUGCGGUGCUAACGGGUGGGAGCCCACGAGGAGUGGGCGUAGCCCGCCCGAGCGGGACGAGGCCGCCGGGCGCGGCGAGCAACCCGUGGGGCGAAGCGGGCGACAGGAGGCCGUGGAUGGUGCGGCGACGAGCCGCGCUGGCCGGGGAGUAGGGCGCCGUCCUGGCCAACAGUGGUAGGCGUGCAUGCCGGCGCAGUGGCCGGAGGCGGGGCGUGGGUGGCAGGGCGCCGCUGGGGCGAUGCGGGGCGGGACGAGCGAGGACGCAGGCGGGGAGGCCGGGACGUGCAGUGAUGGCGAGUGGUGGCGGUCGCCGCAUGGCGAGCAGAGGCGGAAAGCGGCGGCAGUACCGACAGCAGCAGGGACAGAGGCGCGCCUCGGGCGGACGUGCGCGAGCGAGGGCGCGGCCAGGUCAUGCGCGAAGCGGGGGGUUAUGGCAACGAGAUUGAGGGGGAGGUGGGGGGAUCGUCGGAGAGGCUCACUGCGAACUCGUGGAGGGCUCGGUGAAGCCGGGGAAGGUCGAGGNNNNNNNNNNNNNNNNNNNNNNNNNNNNNNNNNNNNNNNNNNNNNNNNNNNNNNNNNNNNNNNNNNNNNNNNNNNNNNNNNNNNNNNNNNNNNNNNNNNNNNNNNNNNNNNNNNNNNNNNNNNNNNNNNNNNNNNNNNNNNNNNNNNNNNNNNNNNNNNNNNNNNNNNNNNNNNNNNNNNNNNNNNNNNNNNNNNNNNNNNNNNNNNNNNNNNNNNNNNNNNNNNNNNNNNNNNNNNNNNNNNNNNNNNNNNNNNNNNNNNNNNNNNNNNNNNNNNNNNNNNNNNNNNNNNNNNNNNNNNNNNNNNNNNNNNNNNNNNNNNNNNNNNNNNNNNNNNNNNNNNNNNNNNNNNNNNNNNNNNNNNNNNNNNNNNNNNNNNNNNNNNNNNNNNNNNNNNNNNNNNNNNNNNNNNNNNNNNNNNNNNNNNNNNNNNNNNNNNNNNNNNNNNNNNNNNNNNNNNNNNNNNNNNNNNNNNNNNNNNNNNNGGAUAGGGAUGACGGGGCGCCGGCGGUGGGCACAGUGGCAAGGCGCCCCGAUCCAGAUCGCGAUUGGGAGGAGGAGCGAGGGGAGACGGGUUCGUGGGGAAAAUGGGGUGUAGUGGGCUAGGGUUGCGGGAUGGGGGGUUAUGCAGGGGCGCGGCUGGGCCAGCCCAUUGGCCUGGUGCCCUGCUGGGCCGUUCGGCCCAGGGGAGGGGGGUCUUGCUUCGUAUAUUUUUUUUGCUUUGCUUUGUUUUGUUUUUGUUUUACUUUUUCUUAUUUUACUUUUUUUGUUUUCUUUUAGUUCCUCUUUUAUUUUAGUUUCAUAAAAAUUAUCACUAGCACUUAAAUUAAUACUUUUAAAUAUACUAUUGCCACAUUAAUUCCCAACCCAAAUUAAAAUAGUUUAAUAUUUUAUAAAAUUCACAAGGCAUUUAUUUUAAUAUUUAAACCUCUAUUUAAUUAUUUUGAACACUUAAACAUUUUAUUAAAGUUAGGUUUCUCCACCAUUAUUAUCUAUGCAAUAUUUGGUUCACUCCGAACAUUUUAGUUUUAAUAUUUGAAAACUUUUAUUGUUUGCUUGAUUUUGAACUUUGAAUUCUGGACGGGUUUUGAUCUAAUGAUAGAUUAGCAACAGUAANNNNNNNNNNNNNNNNNNNNNNNNNNNNNNNNNNNNNNNNNNNNNNNNNNNNNNNNNNNNNNNNNNNNNNNNNNNNNNNNNNNNNNNNNNNNNNNNNNNNNNNNNNNNNNNNNNNNNNNNNNNNNNNNNNNNNNNNNNNNNNNNNNNNNNNNNNNNNNNNNNNNNNNNNNNNNNNNNNNNNNNNNNNNNNNNNNNNNNNNNNNNNNNNNNNNNNNNNNNNNNNNNNNNNNNNNNNNNNNNNNNNNNNNNNNNNNNNNNNNNNNNNNNNNNNNNNNNNNNNNNNNNNNNNNNNNNNNNNNNNNNNNNNNNNNNNNNNNNNNNNNNNNNNNNNNNNNNGAGGAGAUGACUGCGGUGGACUUGGAGGAGAGGGCGGAGAUGGCCGUCGAUGAGUAAUUGUGGAUGGUGUAGCACCAUGGCGGCGGUUUUGCAUUCGACGAGAGGGGCGGCGCGUGCAAAUUUUCCUAGGACUAAACUGCCCCUAUAUUAAAACGCGUCCCCACCUUGUGACGAGUACCGGCCCCACUCGUUUUAGUACUUUCGCGUACUUUCAUCGGAGUACUACCCAGUACUUCGUAUUUGUCUGCCGUUAGAUCGACAUCAACGAACGGUUCUAAAAAAGCCCAACCACUCUAAAACUUGUAAAAGAAAUAUGCUAGCUAACUUGGGGGGGGGGGAAUCGUUAUUUCUGCUGAACCAAUCUAGUACGUCAUAGAAGAAGUGACAGAUAGAAAACAAUGUCUUGUUUAUUGCUGCUGAACCAAUCUUCACAGCAGAUGCUCUUCCUUAUUGUCCUAUCUGCACGUUAGAAAAUGAUGCAGGCCCCGGGGAUUGAAUAUUAUUUGGUUGGAGUCAUCUGGGAUGUUGGUACAAACAAUUGUUUGCAUAUGGAAGUUGCAGGAUAAAUCAAACUUAAUUAGGAAAAUAGUGAUGUAUAUUUGCAAAUAAAGCUCAUCUCUUGCAUUUCUUGAUAUUAUCAUUCAAUAUACAGCUCAGCUCUUGGAUUUCUUCAUAUUAAUUAUCAACAUUUGCUUCCAUCCUCUCUCCAACAACCGCACAGGGGAACGCGCACCUUGAUAUUAUCUCCAUUUCCUUCCAACCUCUCUACGUUUACCAGCCUUGGCGUCCGUGGGACCUGCGUAGGGGGGAACGGCGGAACAACCAGCAGUAUCAUUGCUCUUUUACCAAUUUGGACAAGAUCAAAUUCAGUGGUGUUGAGGUGCAUGCCCUGGACUUGUUUUUCUCUUGUCUUGUUCUUCAUGUUUUGUUCUUCAUCCGAGAGCUAUACAAGCUAAACUAUUGUGGAACUAAGAAAUAAAGUAAAAUAAAAGGAGCAUUGCGAGGAGGUAAGGCAUGCUUUGCAGCUAGGAGCAGAAUGAUUCCCCACUCGAUAGAAGGAUUACAAGGAUGUUCAUGUUGUGUCAAUGCUUACCGCUCGUCUUCUUUCAUAUGCUGCAGUUUCCUAUUCCUUCGAUCUGCAAGAUCAUGGCAGAAUUGUUGCUUCUCCCUCUAGUGCGAAGCGUAGCGGGCAAGGCUACAGACGCACUUGUUGAGGCCAUGACCCGCAUGUGUGGCCUCGACAACGACCGCCGAACGCUGGAGCGCCAGCUGCUAGCCAUUGAGUGCAAGCUGGCCAACGCAGAGGAGAGGAGCGAGACAAACAACUAUGUCAAGAGUUGGAUGAAAGAGCUCAAGUCCGUCGCCUACAAGGCCAAUGACGUGCUCGACGACUUCCAAUACGAGGUGCUACGCCGCCAAUCUAAGAUCAUGUCCAAUUCCCGCAAGGUACUCGGCUACUUCACGCAUCACAGACCGCUGCUAUUCCGUUUUGAAAUGAGCAAGAAACUCAAGAGCGUCCUCGAGAAGAUCAAUAAGUUGGUUGAGGAGAUGAACAGGUUUGGCCUGGAGAAUUAUGUUCGUAGGGAGAAGCAGGAACAUCCUUGCCGCCAGACGCACUCAAAACUGGACGAGGCUACCCAGAUCUUUGGAAGAGAUAAUGAUAAGGAGGUGGUGGUGAGGUUGCUGUUGGACCAACACGAUCAGCGGAGGGUGCAGGUGCUGCCCAUCAUUGGGAUGGGUGGUCUUGGCAAGACGACUCUAGCCAAGAUGGUCUAUAAUGACCAAGGGGUCCAGCAACAUUUCAAGUUGAAGAUGUGGCACUGUGUGUCUGACAACUUUGAUGUCAUUUCUCUUUUGAAAUCCAUCAUUCAGUUGGUUGAAAGAGGUAGAUGUGACAUGGCUGACACGAUUGAGUUGUUGCAAAACAAACUUGAGGAAGUCAUUGGCCAAAACAGGUUUAUGCUCAUGCUUGAUGAUGUGUGGAAUGAAGAUGAGAGGAAGUGGGAGGAUUUCCUGCAGCCUCUUUUGUGUUCUGUUGGUGGAUGAGGAAGUGUAAUAGUUGUGACAACUCGAAGCCGGAAAGUGGCCUCUAUAAUGCAGACCAUUGGACCCCAUAAGCUAGCAUGUCUGAGUGAAAAAGAUUCAUGGGAAUUGUUUGC